rnacentral:piRNA from 1 species
UCCAUGGUGUCAUUCAAGAGUGCUGCGACAUU